CACGUAGUUAGCCGGUCCUUAUUCUUCCGGUACCGUCAUCCACACCUAAUAUUAGUAAGUGCGAUUUCUUUCCGGACAAAAGUGCUUUACAACCCGAAGGCCUUCUUCACACACGCGGCAUUGCUGGAUCAGGGUUGCCCCUAUUGUCCAAAAUUCCCCACUGCUGCCUCCCGUAGGAGUCUGGGCCGUGUCUCAGUCCCAGUGUGGCUGAUCGUCCUCUCAGACCAGCUACUGAUCGUCGCCUUGGUGAGCCUUUACCUCACCAACUAGCUAAUCAGACAUCGGCCGCUCCUAUAGCAUGAGGCCUUGCGGUCCCCCACUUUCACCCUCAGGUCGUAUGCGGUAUUAGCUAAUCUUUCGACUAGUUAUCCCCCAUACAGGGCACGUUCCGAUGUAUUACUCACCCGUUCGCCACUCGCCAUCAAUCUAGCAAGCUAGAUCAUGCUGCCGUUCGACUUGCAUGUGUAAGGCAUGCCGCCAGCGUUC
rnacentral:rRNA from 1 species